GACGAACGCUGGCGGCGUGCUUAACACAUGCAAGUCGAACGGUAAGGCCUUUCGGGGUACACGAGUGGCGAACGGGUGAGUAACACGUGGGUGAUCUGCCCUGCACUUCGGGAUAAGCCCGGGAAACUGGGUCUAAUACCGGAUAGGACUGCGCGGUGCAUGCCGUGUGGUGGAAAGAUUUAUCGGUGCAGGAUGGGCCCGCGGCCUAUCAGCUUGUUGGUGGGGUAAUGGCCUACCAAGGCGACGACGGGUAGCCGGCCUGAGAGGGCGACCGGCCACACUGGGCCUACGACACGGCCCAGACUCCUACGGGAGGCAGCAGUGGGGACUAUUGCACAAUGGGCGCAAGCCUGAGGCAGCGACGCCGCGUGAGGGAUGACGGCCUUCGGGUUGUAAACCUCUUUCAGCAGGGACGAAGCGUGAGUGACGGUACCUGCAGAAGAAGCACCGGCCAACUACGUG
rnacentral:rRNA from 1 species